GAACACAGAAUGUUCUUGGUGAGAAGGGCCGCCGCAUUCGGGAAUUGACUGCAGUAGUUCAGAAGAGAUUUGGCUUCCCAGAGGGCAGUGUAGAGCUUUAUGCUGAAAAGGUGGCCACGAGAGGUCUGUGUGCUAUUGCCCAGGCAGAAUCUCUGCGUUACAAACUCCUUGGAGGGCUUGCUGUUCGGAGGUGUGCUGGGCAUCAAGGUGAAGAUCAUGCUGCCCUGGGACCCUACUGGUAAGAUUGGCCCUAAGAAACCCUUG
rnacentral:lncRNA from 1 species